GAUGGCAGUGACGACUCGGUAAUAUUCAAGCUCAACAGACCAAAUCACAUGUCUAUCUCUAUAAAUUGAGAUUGAUCUGUAUGCUGAUUAUCCCGCUGAACUGAGCCAUC
rfam:Dichanthelium oligosanthes cultivar Kellogg 1175 unplaced genomic scaffold Do_version_2_scaffold516, whole genome shotgun sequence.